rnacentral:snoRNA from 1 species
AACCGCAGACAUAGUACCCUUCACGUGCGUUCGACAGAACACCAAGCGAUUGGGCGAAAGGGGGCGCUGAAGAGCGAGACGGAAAUCGCGGAGGGCUGAGGUGCGCACGCGCUUCGGACCCCCUCUUUUUCUCCCCUGCCUCCUUUCUACGUGGCCCCCCUCCUCCUUUUCCCCUCCGCCGGUGUCUCGAGAACACUUCUUGUGCUGCUGUUGGGCCUCCCUCUCGUGGAAGAACA